ACGCCGUUGGUGCAGUGGUUAGCAUGCUUGCCUUCCAUAAACCGAGAGCAAGCGGGACGGGUUCAAUUCCCGUACGGCGUA